rnacentral:rRNA from 1 species
AUUGAACGCUGGCGGCAUGCCUUACACAUGCAAGUCGAACGGUAACAGGUCUUCGGAUGCUGACGAGUGGCGAACGGGUGAGUAAUACAUCGGAACGUGCCCGAUCGUGGGGGAUAACGAAGCGAAAGCUUUGCUAAUACCGCAUACGAUCUACGGAUGAAAGCAGGGGACCGCAAGGCCUUGCGCGAACGGAGCGGCCGAUGGCAGAUUAGGUAGUUGGUGGGAUAAAAGCUUACCAAGCCGACGAUCUGUAGCUGGUCUGAGAGGACGACCAGCCACACUGGGACUGAGACACGGCCCAGACUCCUACGGGAGGCAGCAGUGGGGAAUUUUGGACAAUUGGCGAAAGCCUGAUCCAGCCAUGCCGCGUGCAGGAUGAAGGCCUUCGGGUUGUAAACUGCCUUUGUACGGAACGAAAAGACUCUGGUUAAUACCUGGGGUCCAUGACGGUACCGUAAGAAUAAGCACCGGCUAACUACGUG